GACGAACCGUGCAAACGUUGUUCGGAAUCACUGGGCUUAAAGGGCGCGUAGGCGGGCCAGCCAGUCUGUGGUGAAAGCCUCCAGCUUAACUGGAGAAGUGCCGUGGAUACUGCUGGCCUCGAGGAGGAUAGGGGGCAUCUGGAACGGUCGGUGGAGCGGUGAAAUGCGUUGAUAUCGACCGGAACUCCGGUGGCGAAGGCGAGGUGCUGGGUCCUUUCUGACGCUGAUGCGCGAAAGCCAGGGGAGCAAACGGG
rnacentral:rRNA from 1 species